GAAGGUAUAGCUCAGCCGUAGAUUGUGUGCUUAGCAUGCACGAGGUCCUGGGUUCAAUCCCCAGUACCUCA
rnacentral:tRNA from 1 species